UACGUAGGGGGCAAGCGUUGUCCGGAAUCAUUGGGCGUAAAGCGCGUGUAGGCGGUCCGAUAAGUCGGCUGUGAAAGUCCAGGGCUCAACCCUGGGAUGCCGGUCGAUACUGUCGGACUAGAGUUCGGAAGAGGCGAGUGGAAUUCCCGGUGUAGCGGUGAAAUGCGCAGAUAUCGGGAGGAACACCGGUGGCGAAGGCGGCAUCCUGGACCGGCAUUGACGCUGAGGAGCGAAAGCCAGGGGAGCAAACGGG
rnacentral:rRNA from 1 species